UACGAAGGGGGCUAGCGUUGCUCGGAAUUACUGGGCGUAAAGGGCGCGUAGGCGGAUGUCUAAGUUGGGGGUGAAAUCCCGGGGCUCAACCUCGGAACAGCCUUCAAUACUGGAUAUCUUGAGUUCGGGAGAGGUGAGUGGAAUGCCGAGUGUAGAGGUGAAAUUCGUAGAUAUUCGGCGGAACACCAGUGGCGAAGGCGACUCACUGGCCCGAUACUGACGCUGAGGCGCGAAAGCGUGAGGAGCAAACAGG
rnacentral:rRNA from 1 species